rnacentral:rRNA from 1 species
AGCGAACAGACGAGGAGCUUGCUCCUCUGACGUUAGCGGCGGACGGGUGAGUAACACGUGGAUAACCUACCUAUAAGACUGGGAUAACUUCGGGAAACCGGAGCUAAUACCGGAUAAUAUAUUGAACCGCAUGGUUCAAUUGUGAAAGACGGUUUUGCUGUCACUUAUAGAUGGAUCCGCGCCGCAUUAGCUAGUUGGUAAGGUAACGGCUUACCAAGGCAACGAUGCGUAGCCGACCUGAGAGGGUGAUCGGCCACACUGGAACUGAGACACGGUCCAGACUCCUACGGGAGGCAGCAGUAGGGAAUCUUCCGCAGUGGGCGAAAGCCUGACGGAGCAACGCCGCGUGAGUGAUGAAGGUCUUCGGAUCGUAAAACUCUGUUAUUAGGGAAGAACAAAUGUGUAAGUAACUAUGCACGUCUUGACGGUACCUAAUCAGAAAGCCACGGCUAACUACGUGCCAGCAGCCGCGGUAAUACGUAGGUGGCAGGCGUUAUCCGGAAUUAUUGGGCGUAAAGCGCGCGUAGGCGGUUUUUUAAGUCUGAUGUGAAAGCCCACGGCUCAACCGUGGAGGGUCAUUGGAAACUGGAAAACUUGAGUGCAGAAGAGGAAAGUGGAAUUCCAUGUGUAGCGGUGAAAUGCGCAGAGGUAUGGAGGAACACCAGUGGCGAAGGCGACUU